rnacentral:lncRNA from 1 species
AUUAAAAUAUUGUGUGAAAGAUACGUGACUGUGAAAAAUCAUCAUGAAUUCAUGACGGAAAAUAUUCUGUCAUGAAUUAAUGACAGUGACAUAGAUGACAGAUAAGUUGUCUGUCAUACAUCCCCUUUUAUGACAGUUAUUUACUGUUAUCUAUUGCCUAUUUUCUUGUAGUGUGGAGCUAUCAACUCAAUUCCAAGAUCAACAAACCACCAAUAAUGGUUUAAUUUAGAUAAAAAGCCACCUAUCAACACUUGGUGAGUUUAUAAUAAGUUGGUGGCAAUCACUAAAAUGGAGUCUCAUAUUGUGUAAGGUUUCAACAAGUUGUAAUCUCUUGAGCCUAGCAAAUUACUCGAUAUUUGAGCGUGGCUCCAUGGAUGUAGUGAAUAACGUAAAAUCUUCUUGUGUGCUUUACUUUUACGCAUUUUAUUUUUACUCAUUAUUUGUUUAAUUAAAUUUUCAUUAAACUUGGUACGCCUACUAAAAUUGGAUAUCACAAUGCUUCCCUAAUUUAAUCACUUUAAAAGUUUUUGUCUUACUAGGAAUACAUCUUUGUAUUGGCUUUUGAAUUAAGGAUGUUCUAAUUUCUAUGGCCAAGUUUUGCAUCUACUUUUGAUUUAGAUGUUCCAACUAUAAAAGCCUAGUGUAUUAAAAAAGUAAAAACUAUGAAAGCCUAAGAAUCUAAUUAUCUCGUUUAGAGUAUUGAUAUUUGAUUAUCUCAUUUUAUCUCACCAAACCCUAUUAAUGAUUCCAAUUUUAUCUUGUACAAAAAUACUAAAAAGUACAUAAGAUUUUUCUCUUUAGACUCUAUCAUUUUGCAAACUUAUAUAUAUUAUAAAUUUCAUGUGAUCAAACAACUAAACUUUUUCAAAAGAAAAAAAUAACAAUUUUAUUCUUUUAGAAACAAUUUGAUCAAAUCUCUUCAUUGGCAACAAACAACAUCAAUUCCAUAUCCAAAACCAAAUAAAUGAGCAAGUUUAGAAAGGUCUAUCCAUCGCUUGGAUUGCUAAAAUCGUUCCCCUGAUAGCUUUUAACAAGAGAAAGAACAUUAUGGAGAUUGAGCAAUUAGCAAAUGCAAAAGAUUAAAAUUACUAAAAGUGAGCAAUUAAGCUUUUUCAACAAGUGAUUUUUGCUUUCUCAG